CAUAUCAUAAAGAUAUAUAUAUAUAUAUAUAGAUUAUACUUAGGUUGAUCAGUCUAUUAAAAAAAUUAGUUGCAUAUGCCUCAAAAUAAUAUUUACAAAUUUCAUUGUUAUAGGUAAAUAAUAAUAUUUUUUGAAAAAAUAAACUACUAUCACCUCUAUGUCAAUUUUGUUCUUUAACGUAUCAAAAUAAUCUCUAUCACUUUUAAAAUCCUCCCAAAAAAUAAGUAAUUGGAGCGAAAACCCCUUAAUCUUUACAUUUUGAGGCAUUUAAUCUUCCAAACAUUAUUUUUGGUUGAGAUAAAGAUGAGAUUUAGGCAAGAUUGUGGUGGGAGAUGGAAAUCUGUGCACAUAAGGAGAUCUGGGCGACGUUGGAAAUGACGAAUACUUGGGCAACACCGAAGUUGGAGAAGGCAAAUCUAGGGAAAAUAGCUCUGAGAGGAGAAAGGUUUUAUUCGACCACAAAAAUUGUAGAUACUAAUUUGAAGAUGUUUAUUUUUGAGGUGCUGAGAACAAAAUCUUAUGCUGCAAUCACUUUAACGGGUGCCAUUGGGGCGUGAUCACAAAGAGGUGAUUGGUUGCAGAUUUCCAAUCCAUGUAUGUACUUUCAUGUAAAGUUUUAAUUAUAUAUUUUGGGUUUGCAUCAAAUGAACGAAUUGGGUCCCUAUUUUCAUUGGUUGUGGUUAAUUUCCUUGAUUGUUGAUGAUCAAAUCUGGGUUAUAAACUUAUAAAUGUAUAUGUUUGAAGGGAUUACAAAAUUUGGAAUUUGAAGCUUGAUUUUCAUAUA